rnacentral:rRNA from 1 species
GUGAGGAAUUUUCCGCAAUGGGCGAAAGCCUGACGGAGCAAUGCCGCGUGAAGGAUGAAGGCCUAUGGGUUGUAAACUUCUUUUCUCAGAACAGAAUUAUGACGGUAUCUGAGGAAUAAGCAUCGGCUAACUCUGUGCCAGCAGCCGCGGUAAGACAGAGGAUGCAAGCGUUAUCCGGAAUGAUUGGGCGUAAAGCGUCUGUAGGUUGUUUAAAAAGUAUUCUGUCAAAGAUUAGGGCUUAACCCUAGAUAGGCAGAAUAAACUUUUAAGCUAGAGUUUGGUAGAGGCAGAGGGAAUUCCCGGUGGAGCGGUGAAAUGCGUAGAUAUCGGGAGGAACACCAAAGGCGAAGGCACUCUGCUGGGCCAAUACUAACACUGAGAGACGAAAGCGAGGGGAGCAAAUGGGAUUAGAUACCCGUGUAGUCC